rnacentral:tRNA from 1 species
GCCCCUGUAGCUCAACUGGAUAGAGCAGUUCCGUCCUAAGGAAAGGGUUGUGGGUUCAAGUCCUGCCAGGGGCG